GGGCUACCUUGUAGCAAUUUGAAGGUCAGUCAUCAGUUUCUGCUUGGUUUCAAAGAUCCAGGAGAAGCUUAGUGUUGUUCAUAGACGCAGAUGGACCCAUCACAGCAGUUUAAUCCAACCUCCAUCCCAGAGUCUUCACAAAUGCUGACCCAAGAAAAUUCUCGGGACGAUUCGGGGGCCUCUGAAAUCUGUUCCGAGAUGUUGAUAAAGAACCUUAGUAACUUGACUAUCAACGCCACUAAUGAAUCCCCUUCCCCUCUACCAGAAGAGUCACUCCAUCGAGUGAUAGAUGGAAUUGCUGCAAGAGCACCAGUCCUCAGGGAAAUCAGAGAUGACUUGAUUUACAGGAGGAGAGGAGUAAGAACAUUGCUGUCUGUGCAGAGAGAAAGGAUGGCAAGAUUCAGAUACAUGUUACUGGGCAGAGUUCGUACGCAUGAAAGAAUACUAACAAACACUGGGCUUAAGGGAGUUAGGAAGGAAUCAAGACCAUUCAAAUGUCCCUGCAGUUUCUGCGUGUCUAAUGGAUGGGAUCCUUCUGAGAAUGCUAGAAUAGGGAAUUAUGACACCAAGCCACUUCAGCCAUAAAACUUAUUCUUGUACCUUUUUCUUCUUGCUGCUAAUCUUAUAUAGCAGGUUGUGAAAGCUAUUCUAUGCUAGUAUAGACUAUACACCAAUAAUAUUAACGAGUUCUAGGAUGUAUUUUUCUUCUUGUAUCUUUUUCUUCCUACUAUGAUACCAGUCAUUUGUAAGGGAUCUGUGUCAUUUGAAUGUAUUUGAAUAACUUUAGCUUUACUGUUUGAUUUGACCCAAAGACGACAUAAGUAUUCCCAUGUGUCUGAGAAGCCCAAAGUCAGUGAGAUGACACCCAACAUCAAGAAAUUGAAGCAAAGUUACUUGUGGAUAAAGAAAGCAUUAGGUACUUUGGCUAUAGCAUAAUAACUAGAUUUUCUGGCUUUCAAAAAUUUGGAUUGCAAUCACAGCAAACGUUGUUAUUUUUACAGUUUUCAGUACAAAAACGUGUUUAUAUAGAAACAAUAAAGUUGACAUUUGAGUACCUUUAAAAAAA